GACUCCUACGGGAGGCAGCAGUCGGGAAUAUUGCGCAAUGGAGGAAACUCUGACGCAGUGACGCCGCGUAUAGGAAGAAGGUUUUCGGAUUGUAAACUAUUGUCAUUAGGGAAGAUAAAAGACUGUACCUAAGGAGGAAGCCCCGGCUAACUAUGUGCCAGCAGCCGCGGUAAUACAUAGGGGGCAAGCGUUAUCCGGAAUUACUGGGUGUAAAGGGAGCGUAGACGGCAGUGCAAGUCUGAAGUGAAAGGCGGGGGCCCAACCCCCGAACUGCUUUGGAAACUGUGCUGCUGGAGUGCAGGAGA
rnacentral:rRNA from 1 species